rnacentral:rRNA from 1 species
UACGAAGGGGGCUAGCGUUGCUCGGAAUCACUGGGCGUAAAGGGUGCGUAGGCGGGUUUUUAAGUCAGAGGUGAAAUCCUGGAGCUCAACUCCAGAACUGCCUUUGAUACUGAAGAUCUUGAGUUCGGGAGAGGUGAGUGGAACUGCGAGUGUAGAGGUGAAAUUCGUAGAUAUCAAGCGGAACACCGGUGGCGAAGGCGGCCUUCUGGACCGGUAUUGACACUGAGGCGCGAAAGCCAGGGGAGCAAACGGG